CAGUCGCCACGGGAAUACGUAGGGUGCAAGCGUUAAUCGGAAUUACUGGGCGUAAAGCGUGCGCAGGCGGUGAUGUAAGACAGUUGUGAAAUCCCCGGGCUCAACCUGGGAACUGCAUCUGUGACUGCAUCGCUGGAGUGCGGCAGAGGGGGAUGGAAUUCCGCGUGUAGCAGUGAAAUGCGUAGAUAUGCGGAGGAACACCGAUGGCGAAGGCAAUCCCCUGGGCCUGCACUGACGCUCAUGCACGAAAGCGUGGGGAGCAAACAGGAUUAGAUACCCCUGUAGUCCCUGUCUCUUAUAC
rnacentral:rRNA from 1 species